rnacentral:lncRNA from 1 species
GGGAAAUCUGAUUUUAAAAUUUAUUUUUUUCAAAAAAAUCGUUUAAAACCAAAAUGAAGAUAUGCUUUUUUUUUUUCCGAGGCUGAGAGUAAAAUGGAGAAGGGCCAUUUUUUUUGAAGGGUUUUGAAACUUUAUGCAGGCCUACAAGUCAUGGAUAUAUUGAGGGCGAUGAGAAAGAAGUUUGAGGAUGAGGAGUAUGAUGUUAUGGUGGGGAUGGAGUAUGACAUGAAGUUGAUACAUGAUGAGCUGCCCAGACAACAUUUUGUCAGUGAAGAGGAAAGCGUGGCUUUUAUGGAAGUAUAGAUCAUUGUUUAAAGGUGCGGCUCAAUUGGGUAUCAAGUGUGGCGAUCAUAAAUGGAGGAAACCGCGUUUUCAAGUAGAUGUUGAUGUUGUUUUCAAUAGGAAUUCGACUGUAAGAUUGUGGCAGCUAAGGUGAAACAAACGCCUCCUCGCUCGAAUGGCUUGGUAGCAGUUGAUGGUGUUGUGAUGAGUAUGGCUUAUAUAUAAGGACUCAUUUCUCGCAGCAAAAAAAUUUGCAAAUCGGGAUGAGAGAGGAUCUUG